rnacentral:rRNA from 1 species
CAGCCGCCACGGUAAUACGAGGGGGGCUAGCGUUGUUCGGAAUUACUGGGCGUAAAGGGCGCGUAGGCGGCCAUUCAAGUUAGAUGUGAAAGCCCUGGGCUCAACCUAGGAACUGCAUCUUAUACUGCGUAGCUGGAGUGCAGUAGAGGGUAGUGGAAUUUCCGGUGUAGCGGUGAAAUGCGUAGAUAUCGGAAGGGACACCAGUGGCGAAGGCGGCUACCUGGACUGACACUGACACUGAGGCGCGAAAGCGUGGGGAGCAAACAGGAUUAGAUACCCCUGUAGUCCCUGUCUCUUAUAA